AUUGAACGCUGGCGGCAGGCCUAACACAUGCAAGUCGAGCGGAUGAAGGGAGCUUGCUCCUGGAUUCAGCGGCUGACGGGUGAGUAAUGCCUAGGAAUCUGCCUGGUAGUGGGGGAUAACGUCCGGAAACGGGCGCUAAUACCGCAUACGUCCUGAGGGAGAAAGUGGGGGAUCUUCGGACCUCACGCUAUCAGAUGAGCCUAGGUCGGAUUAGCUAGUUGGUGGGGUAAAGGCCUACCAAGGCGACGAUCCGUAACUGGUCUGAGAGGAUGAUCAGCCACACUGGAACUGAGACACGGUCCAGACUCCUACGGGAGGCAGCAGUGGGGAAUAUUGGACACUGGGCGAAAGCCUGAUCCAGCCAUGCCGAGUGUGUGAAGAAGGUCUUCGGAUUGUAAAGCACUUUAAGUUGGGAGGAAGGGAAGUAAGUUAAUACCUUGCUGUUUUGACGUUACCAACAGAAUAAGCACCGGCUAACUUCGUG
rnacentral:rRNA from 1 species